rnacentral:rRNA from 1 species
AUUGAACGCUGGCGGCAGGCCUAACACAUGCAAGUCGAGCGGAUGAAGGGAGCUUGCUCCUGGAUUCAGCGGCGGACGGGUGAGUAAUGCCUAGGAAUCUGCCUGGUAGUGGGGGAUAACGUCCGGAAACGGGCGCUAAUACCGCAUACGUCCUGAGGGAGAAAGUGGGGGAUCUUCGGACCUCACGCUAUCAGAUGAGCCUAGGUCGGAUUAGCUAGUUGGUGGGGUAAAGGCCUACCAAGGCGACGAUCCGUAACUGGUCUGAGAGGAUGAUCAGUCACCCUGGAACUGAGACACGGUCCAGACUCCUACGGGAGGCAGCCGUGGGGAAUAUUGGACAAUGGGCGAAAGCCUGAUCCAGCCAUGCCGCGUGUGUGAAGAAGGUCUUCGGAUUGUAAAGCACUUUAAGUUGGGAGGAAGGGCAGUAAGUUAAUACCUUGCUGUUUUGACGUUACCAACAGAAUAAGCACCGGCUAACUUCGUG